GUGUGUAUAUAUAUACACUACAUCUUCUUUAUGCAUCCCUCCAUUCCCAUCCACUUUUUAUUGCAGGCUGACUCUGAGAUAGCGAGAGAGAAAGCAUCAAGGAAAAUGUUUAUGUCUCUUCGCCUGCCCAGCGAUUUUCCCUACUCUGUGACCCAAGGACCUUUCUCAUCUUCCUGGAUCGGAACUGCUCCCAAUUCUGUGGGGGCUGGCAGUGGCUGUGAAAGCUAAAAGCCAUGCUGCGUUCCCCCUUUCUGCAUGUGGUGCCACGAGUACAUCAGAGGUGCCAGCUGUCGGCCGCUCCCUUCAGUGGGGGACAACAGUCCUGAGCACCAUAGCCAUGUGGCCUGGGAUGACAGCAAGUGUGCGGUAACUCACGUGAGGCAGUGUCUGUUAGCCGACUCACUGACAUCUGAAACAACUUACCGAGCAGGGCCACUUAGAGAUUAUAUUUGAAAACAGGCGACAGCAAUGCCAAUUCAUAAAUGCGAUAAGAGAUGCAGAGCAGAGUAAAUCAGUUCUUGACCAUGAGGCAGCGUGCACGGCAGCGUCUCUGUUAAUGGGGACAGGGCCCAGGCUUUCCCGUCCUUGUCUGUAACACCCACAGAAAUGUGUUCUCAGCACCAAGCAUUGCCUAGGAGAUGCUGAGAAAAGCAGAAGAGACGGGCCAGGGCCAGGGGCUUGGCUGUUUUUCCUUGCAGGUUGGCUGGGGACAAGUGUCCCAGACACUACUCACUAACCAUGCAUAUUAACCUGGGGCUGGCAUUUCCCGCCCACCUCUGUUCCCUGUUCCAGAAACUGAGAAAGCAGCUUGUUUCCAGUCAUGAGCGGCUACCCAGGGCUUCUGUUUACAGUAAUGCCUUGGCCAGCUGCAAAUGGAUGGGGGCCUCCCUGGGGCAGGGGGGAUGGCCCUGGCAGCUCCAGGCCAGGCAUCUGACCCUGUGAACACCUAGAGGGAGAGGGCCUUGUCACUGCCAGCCACUCUCAGGAAAGGGCUCUCUCUUGGGGUGGCCAGGAUUCUAAUGGGGCUGGAAGCUUGGGGAACCUCGGCAGUUAGGGGACGGUCCUGGCUGCUUCGGAAUCCUGCUGGGCCCACCCUGAAAACCUCUGCAGGAUGCCAGCCAGCAGACUCUGAGCCAGGGACUGCAGUGGGUAAGGUCAGGGUUCAUCUGUGAGGCUCAAAGCCAGGUGCCCCCAGUCACUGGGUGAGGACUUGGGUCACACUGGUCCAGGCUGCAGGUUCUACCCGCCAAGCGCUGGCUGACCCUUAGAGCCCUCCCACGGUCCUCUGCAGCCUUGACCUGCUGCAGCCCCUGGCCCUUAGGCGAUGUGUGAGGUGGGGUGCUGCUACAGCACAAGUACACCAGCCCUGCAGAAAAGACGUGUCACAGGACAGGCGAAGCUGCAGGCGGUCAGAGCAUGAGGAGGCUGCUCUGGGCCCUGAGAGCUGGGUGAGAAACCCUGGGUGGGAGGGACCUUGACCAGCCAAUGGACACUGGUUUGUGCGCCAAAAUGCGGUGUCACGGUGAAGUGUCUUAACGGCCACGCCCCACAUAUGCAUGGGUGUCUCCUAGGUGUCAGCCUGGUGCAGUGCAUGGGUGCCCACGGAGAAACCCAGCAGGCAGAACCCCUGCCUGAGCCCAGAGGAGCCAGGGAACAAGGUAUUGUCAGGUACAGUCCACAAGCCCUCACCAGACGCUGUCCCCAUCUCCUCCUUGAGCAAAACUGGCCCCUGCCGCCAGUACAGAAAGUGGCAGAGAUAGGCCAGGCGGUGGUCACACUCUGGAAGGUGGUGCUGGGUGGUGGCUGUGUGUCACUAAAUGACCACAGAUAGCUUGUAGUUAGAGCCCAAACCACUGUUCCCCCCUGUGAAGUCUGAAACCACUAGGAGGAGCAGAGUUCAUCAGCGCCUGCCACAGCCCUGGCGUGUUUAGUGUAGUGGGGGCACAGCCAGACCUUCUCAGAGGCCACCUUUUAAAUCACUUCAGGAUGACUCUGUGUGGGCAGCCCUCCCGGCAUAGUCCAGAAGUUUCCUUGGCCACUCACUGGGCAUGGAAUGGUUUUUCAAAAAUGUCACUCGUUUUCUUCAAAUGAUGUCCUUAAAUGGCCUGAGAGCCCUUGAAGACAGCACCCACCUAGGCAGCCACACAGCACCCACGAGAGGCCCCUUCCUGGCAUCUCCGAGCAGCGCUGGUAAGAAGCUGCGGCCCUCGAUCCUCUGACUUCUCCCAAACUCUUCAGUGCCCAGAAAUAACUUAAUUCAACAGUAUUUGUUCUUAGGGCGCUGUGUUGCCAGUUUUAGUCAAUGAACCCAAACAAAAACUGGGUAAUAUAAACGGGCAUCUUCAUUUUAGUGACACUAUGUAAAUAGUACAGAACUCAAUAUGCAAAGCUAACCUCAUCCAUCAGUACACAAAGAUAACCCCUUUUAUCUUUCCCUGUCGUCCUGAUUUCCUUCCACUUGUUUAUGUUGGGUUUUAAGGUGACUUCAUAUGUACGCCAUGAGCCCCAUCCCUGAUCUCUCUGGUCAGAGGGAUAGGGGUAGGAGGGUGGUCAUGGCUACAGAACUAAAAGCUCAUGGCCUGUCAGCACGAAUGCCUUAAUUGCAGUGAGACACAUGGCAGGCCUGGCCUGCCGUCUCAAUAUUCGUUCCCACUGGCCUUUCCUGGUAACACCAGGCUAGAUGGAGAAGCAAGAACCCUAAUUAUAAUCAGUAAUAAGGGUCCUACAUUAAUAGGAAUCAGAGAGUCUUGUGCAGUGACUUUUCAUUCUGUACAGAAAUGCGUCAGUUGGGAUCACAGAAGUUUACCAAGAUUCUCAGUAUGAUUUAUCGAGCCCAAUGGGCCGCAGCUGUCAGAGGAGCAUGGCCAGGUCAGAGUGUCUGAAAGCACUUUGCUGGCUCUGAUGAGGAAGCCCUCAGGCUCUAUAGUGUCUUUUCCCCACUGUCCCUGAGUCACCACCCAGAGCUUGUCCCCAUGCCCUGCUUAUGUCACAAGCAGGGCCUCUAGGGUGCCAUACAGGGAGGGUCUGGUGUUGCUCUUCUAAGGCUGUACAACCACUGAGGGGUGGCACAGCACCUGAAAACAGCCUUCCCUGAGGUGGGGUCCUACAUGUUCUCACCAGCAUGUUCAUUUCUCAUAAGUUGUCUGCUGACUCCAGAACUCUCACCUAAUUAGGAUCAAGCUUUUGUUGGAAAUGAGCACUGGGGGGAGGUCUGAAGCUUUAUUUUCAAAGAUCAGAAUUUUAGCCAGCUAAAUGGUUGGGGGCAAAGAUACAGAGCUUCAACUCUGAAUUCUGUUACAGUAAUAGAAACGGUCAGUGACUGACUAUAUAGUGCAGGUGUUGCUGCCAAUGCUUGUGAUCACUGGAAGGUGCCGUGAUUAUAUAAGGAGUCUGGACUUGGUUCAAAACCUCCACCCAGCGCGGACGAUGUAGGUGGGCUAAGACAUAGAUAGGAACAGGGUGCAAAAGACCCCCGAUUUAGUAGUAUUUGUUUCUACACCCAGACAUAAAUUAACCUUUAACAACAGGUGGGACCACUGCUCUGCUGAGUGCUCUUGGAAUGUUCUCUUUAAAGGCUGCACUUAAGAGAGUCCUGAAGGCCUCCUCCAUGUGACCGAGAGAAAAAGAAUCAGAAAGAUACCAGAUGGUAGCGUAAGAUGGUUCCUCCUUUUUGUACCCCCCUUUCAACAAAGAAUCGGACAUCCAUCCACUAACAAAAGUGCCUCUGUGGGAUCCUAUUAGCCAAGGGAGGAGUCGUGCCUACCAGUUCAUCCAGUAAUAGGCCAACAGACCUCAGUAGGAGCUGUGGAGGCAACAGAGCAGUGAACUUGCCACAGUUGGGGAAAAAACCUAGAGUGCUGACCUGAGCAGAUACCCAUAGACGAGAGAGAAAUUGCGGAAGUCCAGCCUUCCUCAGGGGGAAUUCCAGCAUGCCGUAAGAGGGGGGAAAAAAAAGUUUGGCUGCAGUGGACACAGAACUUUACCAGCAGCACCCUUGCCUGAGGCAACAACAAUGGAUGGGGCUGAACUACUGGGGUGGACACAUCUCCCAUGGUGGGGUGGGGGGGCACAGUGAGUGCUUGGCUACCCCAGGGGGUGUAGCUGGAGAAGCCCCAUUGUCUUCAGCAGGAUCUCCAUGACGGUAGGAGGAAGGAAAAGAGGCAGAUAAGAAUAUUGAAAGACAUUAAAGGAACAGCUAGGCUCCCUGCUGACUGGGCUCAGUAGGAAGUCUACCCAUGAGCCUCCAGGAGCACAACACCUGGGGAUCUCCCUACUGGGUCUGCAGAGACCCCCAAUGCCCAAGUGCCAAAUCCACACCUACCCUCACUUCUGUGGUGGGCUCUUCCAAGUAUGGAGGCAAGAACAAGACCCGGUACGGAGUGUCCCCAGAAAACAGGACAAGGGAGAAGCCACUAACUUAAGCUAUAACGCCACCUUCUGGAAAACAAGAGUCUUCCCAGCAACCAGCCGGGUGAGUGGUAAGAACCAAAAACCUAAAAAGCUCAAGAAUUCUGCCACAAGAGGGAGCAAGGCAAAAGUACCCAUACAAAAGCAGAAAAACCCUAGAACAUCAGCACCAAUAAACAGAAAACUAAUCUGAAGACAGCUUGCAAAGAUUUAAGGAGGAGUCUGCAACUUGAAAUGAGAGAGCAGCAAUACAAAACUCCAACGAACAACAACAAUCAAGGAAACAUGUCAUCCAAAGGGUAAUCUCUAAUAACCAAGUUCAAAGGCAUGUUGUUUUGUGAUCUUGCUCCUAAAGAAUCUAAAAUCCCCAUUUUGAAGAAACUCAGUGAGCUAACAGAAAACUCAAAGACAAUUCAUGAAAGAAAAAACAAACGUAGGUUCAAAAUGAGAUAUUUACUGACAAGACUGAAAUCAUAAAAGAGAACCAGAAAUCACAGAGCUGAAGAACUCAGUCACUGAAAUGAGAAAUGUAAAGUGGAGCAUCUGCAAUAGAGUAGAGCAAGUGGAACACAGAAUAAGAGGACAGGAAUUGUGAAAUAACCCAGUUAGAGUAGAGGAGAACAAAGAAAAAAGAAUGAAAAUGAGUCAAGAAAGCCUACACGAUCUAUAUAGGAUUUCAUCAAAAGAACAAGUAUUAGAAUAAUUGCGAUUCCAGAAGAAGAGAAGGGGUAGAAAGUUAAAGAAAUAAUAGCUGAUAACUUCCCAAACUUGGGGAGAUAAUUCAAUAUCCAAGUUCACAAAGCUAAUAUAUCACUCUAUUAUCUCAAUGCACAAAGACCGUGUCCAAAACACAUUAAAAUGAAACUCAAAAAUUAAAGAUAAAAGAACUCUAAAAGCAGCCAGGGGAAAAAAAGAUUAUAACGUACAAAGGAACCCCCAUUAAAUUAUCAGUCGAUUUCUGGGCAGAAACCCCGUGGUCCAGGAGAGAGUAGAAUUAGAUAUUCCAAGUAUUGAAAGAAAUUGCCAGCUAAGAAAAGUCAUCCUUCAGCUAUGAAGGAGAAAUAAAGACUUUCCUAGACAAACAAAAGUGGAGACAGAUCAUCACCACUAGGCCUGCCUUGUAAGAAAGGCUGAAAGGAGCUCUUCAAGCUGAAAUAAACAUGCCAUGAGAGACAUGAAAACAUGAAAGUAUGCAACACAAUGGUAAAUAGAUUUAGAAAACUCGAAUUCUGUAAGAGGAUGCUGUGUUAACUAUAAAGUUCAAAGGAAAGAGUAUUGAGAAUAAUCACAGCUUCUGUAAUUUAUUAGCAAAUACACAAUAUAAAGAGAGGUAAAUAAUGGCAUCAAGGAUAUAAGAGGCGGAGUGUAAGAGUGAAGCUUUUAUAGACAAUUUAAGUUGCUAUCAGGUUAAAAAGGACUGUUUUAUCUAUGCGGUCUUAUUGCAAGCCUCAUGGUGACCACAAAGCAAAAACCUAGUGUAGAUGCAUAAAAGAUAAAGAAAGGGGAAACAGAGCAUACCGCCAUGGAAACUCAACGAUUUACAAACAUGGGCUGAAACAGAGGAAACCAAAGAAUGGAAAUACAAACCGACUAGAAAACAGUAAGAUGGCAUUAGUAAGUCCUUAUGUAUCAGUAGUAACUCUAAAUGUUAAUGGAUUGAAUUUGCCAAUUAAAAGGUACAGAGUAGCUGGAUGGAUAAAAAAAGUAAUACCCAACUGAAUGAUGACUACAAGAGACUCACUUACAUAAGCUUAAAAUGAAGGAAUGGAAGAUAUUCCAUGAAAAUGAAAACCAAAGGAAAGUAGAGGUAGAACUUAUAUGAGACAAAAUAGACUUCAAUCCAAAAACGGGUGCAGGAGACAAAGAAAGUCAAAAUAUAAUGAUAAAUGGGCCAAUUCAUCAAAAAGAUACAACAAUCAUAUAGAUAGAAAAACAUAUGAAGGAAGAAACAGACAAUUCAAUAGUAGUAGGGGACUUCAAUACCCCACUUUCAUCCAGACAGAAAAGCAACAAGGAAACAUUGGACUUGAACCAAACACUAGGCAAAAUGGUCCUAGCAGACAGGUAUAGACACAUUUCAUCCAACAGAAGUAGAAUGCAUAGUCUUCUCAAGUGCAUCAGAGCAUUCUCUAGGAUAGACCAUAUAGAAUACAAAACAAGUCUCAGCAAAUUUAAAAAGAUUGAAACCAUACCACGUUUAUCUUUUCUGAUUACAGUGAUAUGAAACUAGAAAUCAACAACCAGAGGAGGGCUGAAAAAAAUCUACAAAUAUGUGGAAAAUAAUAAUAACAUGAAACAAAUAAAAGGGAACCAAAACAUUUCAAAACCUAUGGGUUGCUACAAAAGAAGUUUGGAGAGGAACGUUUAUAGUGAUAAAUGCAUAUAUUAAGAAAUUGGAAGAUCUCAAAUAAACAACCGAGCUUUACAACUCAAAAGAACUAGAAAAAGGACUCAGCCCAAAGUUAGAACAACAAAGAUCAGAGAAGAAAAUAGAGACCAGAGAAAUACUAGAAAAAAAAAUGAA